rnacentral:rRNA from 1 species
CCCGUCAAUUCAUUUGAGUUUUAACCUUGCGGCCGUACUCCCCAGGCGGUCAACUUAAUGCGUUAGCUGCGCCACUAAGAGUUCAAGACUCCCAACGGCUAGUUGACAUCGUUUACGGCGUGGACUACCAGGGUAUCUAAUCCUGUUUGCUCCCCACGCUUUCGCAUCUCAGUGUCAGUAUCAGUCCAGGUGGUCGCCUUCGCCACUGGUGUUCCUUCCUAUAUCUACGCACUUCACCGCUACACAGGAAAUUCCACCACCCUCUACCGUACUCUAGCUCAGCAGUUUUGAAAGCAGUUCCCAGGUUGAGCCCGGGGAUUUCACUUCCAACUUACUGAACCACCUACGCGCGCUUUACGCCCAGUAAUUCCGAUUAACGCUUGCACCCUUCGUAUUACCGCGGCGGCUGGCACA